UCUAAGACGACUGAGAAAUAACUA
rnacentral:miRNA from 1 species